GGGUUGUGAGGUUAAGCGACUAAGCGUACACGGUGGAUGCCCUGGCAGUCAGAGGCGAUGAAGGACGUGCUAAUCUGCGAAAAGCGCCGGCGAGGUGAUAUGAACCUUUGACCCGGCGAUGUCCGAAUGGGGAAACCCAGUGCAAUUCGUUGCACUAUCGUUAACUGAAUACAUAGGUUAACGAGGCGAACCGGGGGAACUGAAACAUCUAAGUACCCCGAGGAAAAGAAAUCA
rnacentral:rRNA from 1 species